AGAGAUAGCAUGACAACACAUUUUAAGCAAAUUUGGAAGACUAAAGCUCCGCCUAGAAUGACAUUUUUUUGCUUGGGAAGCUGCUAAAGAAUGUAUAUUGACUCUCGACAUGUUAAAGAGAAAAGGUAACACUGUGGGGAAGGUAGACAAGGUUGGCAAAGGUAACAAGAUAAAUGUUUGGGAGAAAGAUUGGGUUGGGGAAGGUGGACUUCUGAAGAGGUUUCCCAGAAUUUAUAAUAUCGUUCAAUAAAAAAAUAUGACUGUUUUGGAGGCUUACAGGGUUGUUAAUGGCAACAUGGUUUGGUUAAUUAAUACUAAGAGGAAUUUGAAUGAUCGGGAGGUUGAAGAGUUUGAAGACUUGAUGUCUAUUCUUGAAUUUGCAUAGGUGUCAG
rnacentral:lncRNA from 1 species